rnacentral:rRNA from 1 species
UGUAGUUUUUUUUGCUGAGGCAGGCUAUCUUUAAUAAAACUUUCAGUUUUAUGGAUAGUAAGAGGUAUCGGCCUCUUUUUUGAGGCUUCGGCUAAUAGCGAUUUAUUCGCAUAUAGUUCAAUAUGGAAUACAGAUGAUGACUAUUUUCCAUAUGUAAGUAUUGACCAAAACACGUGCCAGCAGUCGCGGCAACACGGGACAUACUAGUGUUAUUCAUCUUUAAUAGGUUUAAAGGGUACCUAGACGGCAGAUUUAGCCCCCACUGAGCUGGGAUGGUACAUUUUUGCUAGAGUUUUAUGUGAGAGGGAUUUAGUACUAACAGAGUAGAGAUGAAAUUCUUUGAUACUGUAGGGCACUGAUAACGGCGAAGGCAGACCUUUAUGUAAAAACUGACGUUGAGGGACGAAGGCUUGGGUAACAAACAGGAUUAGAUACCCUAAUAGUCCAGGCAGAGACUGAUGAGUGCCAUAGAUUAGAAUAUGUUUGAUCUAUAAAUGAAAGUGAAAGCACUCCACCUUAAGAGUAAUGCGGCAACGCAGGAACUGAAAUCAUUAGACCGUUUCUGAUACCAGUAGUGAAGUAUGUUGUUUAAUUCGAUGAUCCACGAAAAAUCUUACCACAAUUUGAAUAUUAUAGCAACUAAAGGAAAGUCUUUUAAUUAUAUAUUAAUAUGAUGAAAGUGCUAAUAAUACAGGUGUUGCAUGGCUGUCUUCAGUUUAUGUCGUGAGAUGCGGGUUAGCUCCUACAAAAUAAACGUGAACCCUUACUUUAUUUUAAUCGGCAAUGUCGAUUACAUAGAGUAGCUGUCUGAUACGUUGGACAAAUAACAGGGACCAAGACAAGUCCUCAUGGCCCG